UGACCAAACAUUGAAACAUGGAUUGAAAGAAUCUUGUACUAGAUAUCUAGAUCCAGAUCAGAGAUUCUCACCUAUCUAGAGAAGUCUGGCUUGUCUAAGUGCUGAUUAAUAGCUCUUUUGUGUACAAGAUGUACUAAACAAAGUGUACCAUCUCAAUGACUUUUGAUUGAAGUUGUUGUGAAGUUCAUAUGUGAAGAUCAUGACUGAGACAUUGUUAUUAGUUCUACUUAGGAGCUAGAAACUUUGCAGAUUGAAAAGUAAUUGUAAUGGCAGACGCAGUUAAAAUGUGCUAUUCAAGAGAUCAAAGUUCACAUCCAAGACCGCGGGUGACAUUCACAGCUCCAGAAAACUUGAUUCCUGGUGCUACAUUCUGUGGCCGAAUCGUACCAGAUGAAAG